CCUAAAAUCAAGCCUAACCCAAACCAAUGUAAACUACACCCAAUUUCCUCUAAACAAAACAUUUAACCAGUCUAGUAGAGGCGAUCAAAAAACUUAUUAGCGCUUUACCACAAGUACCGCAAGGGAAAAAUGAAAUAGUUUUGAAAUAGUUUUAAAGCAAAACACAGCAGAGCUAAAUACUCGUACCUUUUGCAUCAUGGUUUAGCUAGUUCCUAGCAAGCGAAACGAAACAUCAGUUUGCCCCCCCGAAACUAGGCGAGCUACUUCAAAAUAGUUUAUAGAACAAACCCGUCUCUGUUGCAAAAGAGUGGGAUGAUUUUCAAGUAGUGGUGAAAGACCUACCGAGCCUAGAGAUAGCUGGUUAUUCAGGAAAAGAAUUUUAGUUCUGCCCUAAGUUCUCCCAUUACCACAAUAAACACCUUGAACUUAAGAGUUAGUCAAAUAAGGCACAGCUUAUUUGAUAAAGGAUACAACCUACAAAAAAGGGUAAAACCUACCAUACUAACUAAGUAGGCCUGAAAGCAGCCACCUUUAAGAAAGCGUUACAGCUCUAUUAAUCUUAACGAUAAAUGUCAAAAAAUAUUUUCAACCCUUUAUUACUACUGAAUAGUCCUAUAAUUUUAUAGAAAUACUAAUGCUAAAACUAGUAACAAGAAAUAGAAUUUCUCCAAAAUACAAGUAUAAGCCAAAAUGGACCGACCAUUGGCAGUUAACGUUAAUGAGCCAAAUAUAGCAACCCCUCAAGAAAACACUAUAAUUUUUACCGUUAAUCUUACACAAGUAUAUUCCCGGAAAGAUUAAAAGAAAAGGAAGGAACUCGGCAAACCUUAGCCCCGCCUGUUUACCAAAAACAUCGCCUCUUGUUCAACUAUAAGAGGUCUAGCCUGCCCAGUGACACAGUUAAACGGCCGCGGUACCCUGACCGUGCGAAGGUAGCAUAAUCACUUGUUCUUUAAAUAAGGACUCGUAUCAACGGCAUCACGAGGGCUAUACUGUCUCCCCUCUCUAAUCAGUGAAACUGACUUCCCCGUGAAGAGGCGGGGAUAAAUCUACAAGACGAGAAGACCCCAUGGAGCUUUAAACCCAAUAACAACCUCUACUUAAAUUUAUCUUAAAAAUCAAGAAGUACUGUUUAUUGGUUUUAGGUUGGGGUGACCACGGAGUAUAAUUAAACCUCCACGACGAACGGUAUAUCCUAAUCCAAGAGUUACCACUCUAAGAAUCAACAAUUUGACGUAAUAUGAUCCGACAACCGAUCAACGAACCAAGUUACCCUGGGGAUAACAGCGCAAUCCAUUUUAAGAGCCCCUAUCGACAAAUGGGUUUACGACCUCGAUGUUGGAUCAGGGUAUCCCAGUGGUGCAGCCGCUACUAAAGGUUUGUUUGUUCAACAAUUAAAAC
rnacentral:rRNA from 1 species